UGCAGUCGAACGGUAAGGCCUUUCGGGGUACACGAGUGGCGAACGGGUGAGUAACACGUGGGUGAUCUGCCCUGCACUUCGGGAUAAGCUUGGGAAACUGGGUCUAAUACCGGAUAUGACCAUGGACUUCACGGUUUGUGGUGGAAAGCUUUUGCGGUGUGGGAUGGGCCCGCGGCCUAUCAGCUUGUUGGUGGGGUAAUGGCCUACCAAGGCGACGACGGGUAGCCGGCCUGAGAGGGUGACCGGCCACACUGGGACUGAGAUACGGCCCAGACUCCUACGGGAGGCAGCAGUGGGGAAUAUUGCACAAUGGGCGCAAGCCUGAUGCAGCGACGCCGCGUGAGGGAUGACGGCCUUCGGGUUGUAAACCUCUUUCAGUAGGGACGAAGCGCAAGUGACGGUACCUAUAGAAGAAGGACCGGCCAACUACGUGCCAGCAGCCGCGGUAAUACGUAGGGUCCGAGCGUUGUCCGGAAUUACUGGGCGUAAAGAGCUCGUAGGUGGUUUGUCGCGUUGUUCGUGAAAACUCACAGCUCAACUGUGGGCGUGCGGGCGAUACGGGCAGACUGGAGUACUGCAGGGGAGACUGGAAUUCCUGGUGUAGCGGUGGAAUGCGCAGAUAUCAGGAGGAACACCGGUGGCGAAGGCGGGUCUCUGGGCAGUAACUGACGCUGAGGAGCGAAAGCGUGGGGAGCGAACAGGAUUAGAUACCCUGGUAGUCCACGCCGUAAACGGUGGGUACUAGGUGUGGGUUUCCUUCCUUGGGAUCCGUGCCGUAGCUAACGCAUUAAGUACCCCGCCUGGGGAGUACGGCCGCAAGGCUAAAACUCAAAGAAAUUGACGGGGGCCCGCACAAGCGGCGGAGCAUGUGGAUUAAUUCGAUGCAACGCGAAGAACCUUACCUGGGUUUGACAUGCACAGGACGUGCCUAGAGAUAGGUAUUCCCUUGUGGCCUGUGUGCAGGUGGUGCAUGGCUGUCGUCAGCUCGUGUCGUGAGAUGUUGGGUUAAGUCCCGCAACGAGCGCAACCCUU
rnacentral:rRNA from 1 species